CCCUUCAGGUAGUCUAGAAAGACACUCACAUCUUGCAAGGUUUAGAGUUUUCAAGUUAUCCAAAGAGCAAAUUGAAUCAGGUAACUCUUCUACUUUGCUCCAACUUAAAUCGAUAUUGCUUAGGUGACGCAAAUUUCCAAUCCCUUCAGGUAGUCUAGAAAGACACUCACAUCUUGCAAGAAUUAAAGUUUGCAAGUUAUCCAAAGAGCAAAUUGAAUCAGGUAACUCUUCUACUUUGCUCCAACUUAAAUCGAUAUUGCUUAGGUGACGCAAAUUUCCAAUCCCUUCAGGUAGUCUAGAAAGACAAUGACAGCUGUAAAGAGCUAGAGUUUGCAAAUUAUCCAAAGAGCAAGUUGAAUUAGGUAACUCCUCUACAUUGCUCCAAGA